UAGCAGCCCUCUACGGCGUGCAGCGCUGACCUUGUCUCCCUACAUGUAAUUAAUUAAAACUUCACAGCAGGACUGACAGCUGAUGGAUCACCCUCUUGUUGAUUGUUGCUGUUGAGGUAAUCACACACACACACACACCCACUCGCACACACACACACUCAGGUGUGUCCAUUCACACCAAGUUGAAGAGUCGUUGACAGAAGCGAAAAGUGAUUUGUGGGUUUAUUAAUGGUGAUGCUGUUGGUGCUGGAUGAUCUAUGUGUGCAGCAGUAAUUGCAUAUUGAAUAAGAAAACCAAAUAGAAAACAGAAGUACUUACUGGCACUCGCUGCCAGUUUCCACCCUGAUACCAUUAAAUGUGUGCAUGUGUGUGUGUGGUUGACUUGUUUAUUCAACACAUUUGCAGUGUUCU
rnacentral:lncRNA from 1 species